rnacentral:rRNA from 1 species
UACAGAGGGUGCAAGCGUUAAUCGGAAUUAUUGGGCGUAAAGGGUGCGUAGGUGGUUUGAUAAGUUAGAUGUGAAAGUCCUGGGCUUAACCUGGGAACUGCGUCUGAAACUGUCAAGCUAGAGUACUGUAGAGGAAGGUGGAAUUUCCGGUGUAGCGGUGAAAUGCGUAGAUAUCGGAAGGAACAUCAGUGGCGAAGGCGACUUUCUGGACAGAUACUGACACUGAGGCACGAAAGCGUGGGGAGCAAACAGG